rnacentral:rRNA from 1 species
GACGAACGCUGGCGGCGUGCCUAAUACAUGCAAGUAGGACGCAGUUGCGAACGGGUGAGUAACGCGUAGGUAACUGCCUAUUAGAGGGGGAUAACUAUUGGAAACGAUAGCUAAUACCGCAUACUAGUAGAUGGACCUGCGUUGUAUUAGCUAGUAUGUAGGGUAAUGGCCUACCUAGGAGCCGAUAACUAGCCGAACUUAGAGGUGUAGAGGCCAAACUGGGACUGAGACACGGCCCAGACUCCUACCGGAGGCAGCAGUAGGGAAUCUUCGGCAAGUGGGGGAACCCUGACCGAGCAACGCCGCGUGAGGGAAGAAGGUUUUCGGAUCGUAAAGCGUUGUUGUUAAGGAAGCGGUACUUAACCAGAAAGGGACGGCUAACUACGUGCCAGCCGCCGCGGUAAUAC